GACGAACGCUGCGGCGUGCUUAACACAUGCAAGUCGAACGAAGAGCGAUGGAAGCUUGCUUCUAUCAAUCUUAGUGGCGAACGGGUGAGUAACGCGUAAUCAACCUGCCCUUCAGAGGGGGACAACAGUUGGAAACGACUGCUAAUACCGCAUACGAUCUGACCUCGGCAUCGAGGAUGGAUGAAAGGUGGCCUCUAUUUAUAAGCUAUCACUGAAGGAGGGGAUUGCGUCUGAUUAGCUAGUUGGAGGGGUAACGGCCCACCAAGGCGAUGAUCAGUAGCCGGUCUGAGAGGAUGAACGGCCACAUUGGGACUGAGACACGGCCCAGACUCCUACGGGAGGCAGCAGUGGGGAAUCUUCCGCAAUGGACGAAAGUCUGACGGAGCAACGCCGCGUGAGUGAUGACGGCCUUCGGGUUGUAAAGCUCUGUUAAUCGGGACGAAAGGCCUUCUUGCGAAUAGUUAGAAGGAUACGGUACCGGAAUAGAAAGCCACGGAA
rnacentral:rRNA from 1 species